GAUGAACGCUAGCUACAGGCUUAACACAUGCAAGUCGAGGGGCAGCAUGAUCGAAGCUUGCUUUGAUUGAUGGCGACCGGCGCACGGGUGAGUAACGCGUAUCCAACCUUCCCUAUAGUAGAGAAUAGCCCGGCGAAAGUCGGAUUAAUGCUCUAUGUUGUAUUUAGAAGACAUCUGAAGAAUACCAAAGGUUUACCGCUAUAGGAUGGGGAUGCGUCUGAUUAGGUUGUUGGCGGGGUAACGGCCCACCAAGCCUACGAUCAGUAGGGGUUCUGAGAGGAAGGUCCCCCACAUUGGAACUGAGACACGGUCCAAACUCC
rnacentral:rRNA from 1 species